rnacentral:tRNA from 1 species
CAAAGUGUAGCUUAACCAAAGCCUCUCGCUUACACCG